CAGAACCAAGAGAUCCGUUGUUGAAAGUUGUAAUUAUUAAAAUAAUUCAGACGCUGAUUAAAYAUUAAAUAGGUUAUUGGUUUGUCCAUUCGGCAGGCAAGCCCGCCGAGGAAACAUGAGUGCGCAAAAAGUCAAGGGUUAAGAAUAGGAUGUACUCACCCCCAGGAAGACCUGGAAACUUUCCACCCCCUUCAAACGGUAGUAAACUACCGAUAAUUAAUGAUCCUU
rnacentral:misc_RNA from 1 species